rnacentral:rRNA from 1 species
AACGAACGCUGGCGGCAUGCCUAACACAUGCAAGUCGAACGAGACCUUCGGGUCUAGUGGCGCACGGGUGCGUAACGCGUGGGAAUCUGCCCUUGGGUUCGGAAUAACAGUUAGAAAUGACUGCUAAUACCGGAUAAUGUCUUCGGACCAAAGAUUUAUCGCCCAGGGAUGAGCCCGCGUAGGAUUAGCUAGUUGGUGAGGUAAAGGCUCACCAAGGCGACGAUCCUUAGCUGGUCUGAGAGGAUGAUCAGCCACACUGGGACUGAGACACGGCCCAGACUCCUACGGGAGGCAGCAGUGGGGAAUAUUGGGACAAUGGGCGAAAGCCUGAUCCAGCAAAUGCCGCGUGAGUGAUGAAGGCCUUAGGGUUGUAAAGCUCUUUUACCCGGGAUGAUAAUGACAGUACCGGGAGAAUAAAGCCCCGGCUAACUCCGUGCCAGCAGCCGCGGUAAA